rnacentral:rRNA from 12 species
AAUAGCAGCCACACUGUCCUGCAAUUGCCCAAUCUCGUAGGGGAGGUCCUGGUUAGUACUUGGAUGGGAGACUGGCUUGGAAAACCAGGGGCCAUUAGAC